rnacentral:rRNA from 1 species
AUACGUAGGGGGCAAGCGUUGUCCGGAAUUAUUGGGCGUAAAGGGCACGCAGGCGGUCUUCUAAGUCUGAUGUGAAAUCCCACGGCUUAACCGUGGUAGGUCAUUGGAAACUGGAGGACUUGAGUACAGAAGAGGAGAGUGGAAUUCCACGUGGAGCGGUGAAAUGCGUAGAUAUGUGGAGGAACACCAGUGGCGAAGGCGACUCUCUGGUCUGUAACUGACGCUGAGGUGCGAAAGCGUGGGUAGC